AUUGAACGCUGGCGGCAGGCCUAACACAUGCAAGUCGAACGGCAGCACAGAAGAGCUUGCUCUUUGGGUGGCGAGUGGCGGACGGGUGAGUAAUGUCUGGGAAACUGCCCGAUGGAGGGGGAUAACUACUGGAAACGGUAGCUAAUACCGUAUAACGUCGCAAGACCAAAGUGGGGGACCUUCGGGCCUCACACCAUCGGAUGUGCCCAGAUGGGAUUAGCUAGUAGGUGGGGUAAUGGCUCACCUAGGCGACGAUCCCUAGCUGGUCUGAGAGGAUGACCAGCCACACUGGAACUGAGACACGGUCCAGACUCCUACGGGAGGCAGCAGUGGGGAAUAUUGCACAAUGGGCGCAAGCCUGAUGCAGCCAUGCCGCGUGUAUGAAGAAGGCCUUCGGGUUGUAAAGUACUUCCAGCGGGGAGGAAGGCGGUGAGGUUAAUAACCUUGCCGAUUGACGUUACCCGCAGAAGAAGCACCGGCUAACUCCGUGCCAGCCGCCGCGGUAA
rnacentral:rRNA from 1 species